rnacentral:miRNA from 1 species
UCCGGUUCGACGGGAGUCAUCGU